UACGGAGGAUCCGAGCGUUAUCCGGAUUUAUUGGGUUUAAAGGGUGCGUAGGCGGCCUAUUAAGUCAGGGGUGAAAGACGGUAGCUUAACUAUCGCAGUGCCUUUGAUACUGAUAGGCUUGAAUGUACUUGAGGUAGGCGGAAUGUGACAAGUAGCGGUGAAAUGCUUAGAUAUGACAUAGAACACCAAUUGCGAAGGCAGCUUACUACGGAUCGAUUGACACUGAGGCACGAAAGCGUGGGGAUCAAACAGG
rnacentral:rRNA from 1 species